AUUAGUUCAGCUGGAUAGAAUGUCUGCCUACGGAGCAGAUGGUCGUAGGUUCGAAUC
rnacentral:tRNA from 1 species